GAGGAGAUCAGUCAUACCGAAGGA
rnacentral:siRNA from 1 species